AUACGAAAGGUGCAAGCGUUGUUCGGAUUUACUGGGCGUAAAGAGAGUGUAGGUUGUUUAUUAAGUCGGAUGUGAAAUCCCGGGGCUCAACCUCGGAACUGCAUUCGAUACUGAUAGGCUAGAGUUUGGGAGGGGUAAGCGGAAUUCCGUGUGUAGCAGUGAAAUGCGUAGAUAUACGGAGGAACACCUGAGGCGAAGGCGGCUUACUGGACCAAUACUGACACUGAGACUCGAAAGCGUGGGUAGCAAACAGGAUUAGAUACCCCGGUAGUCC
rnacentral:rRNA from 1 species